UGGGGAAUAUUGGACAAUGGGCGAAAGCCUGAUCCAGCCAUGCCGCGUGUGUGAAGAAGGCCUUUUGGUUGUAAAGCACUUUAAGUGGGGAGGAAAAGCUUGUGGUUAAUACCCAUAAGCCCUGACGUUACCCACAGAAUAAGCACCGGCUAACUCUGUGCCAGCAGCCGCGGUAAUACAGAGGGUGCAAGCGUUAAUCGGAAUUACUGGGCGUAAAGCGCGCGUAGGUGGUUAUUUAAGUCAGAUGUGAAAGCCCCGGGCUUAACCUGGGAACUGCAUCUGAUACUGGAUAACUAGAGUAGGUGAGAGGGGAGUAGAAUUCCAGGUGUAGCGGUGAAAUGCGUAGAGAUCUGGAGGAAUACCGAUGGCGAAGGCAGCUCCCUGGCAUCAUACUGACACUGAGGUGCGAAAGCGUGGGUAGCAAACAGGAUUAGAUACCCUGGUAGUCCACGCCGUAAACGAUGUCUACCAGUCGUUGGGUCUUUUUAAAGACUUAGUGACGCAGUUAACGCAAUAAGUAGACCGCCUGGGGAGUACGGCCGCAAGGUUA
rnacentral:rRNA from 1 species